rnacentral:rRNA from 1 species
GGGCCUUUGUAGGUCUGGCAAUUGGAAUGAGAACAAUUCAAAUCCCUUAUCGAGGAUCAAUUGGAGGGCAAGUCUGGUGCCAGCAGCCGCGGUAAUUCCAGCUCCAAUAGCGUAUAUUAAAGUUGUUGCAGUUAAAAAGCUCGUAGUUGGAUUUGUGGCAUACGGUGGGCGCCCGUCACUAUUGGGUGUCGGUGUUGUCUGCUGUUGCCAUCCUUGGGCGGAAUCUGUGUGGCAUUAGGUUGUCGUGCAGGGGAUGUCCAUCGUUUACUGUGAAAAAAUUAGAGUGUUCAAAGCAGGCUUAUGCCGUUGAAUAUAUUAGCAUGGAAUAAUAAGAUAGGUCCUUAGUACUAUUUUGUUGGUUUGCGCACUGAGGAAAUGAUUAACAGAAACAGUUGGGGGUAUUCGUAUUUCAUUGUCAGAGGUGAAAUUCUUGGAUUUUUGAAAGACGAACUACUGCGAAAGCAUUUACCAAGGAUGUUUUCAUUAAUCAAGAACGAAAGUUAGGGGAUC